rnacentral:lncRNA from 1 species
GCUUCCUGGGGUGCGUAGCUGAAGGUAGCAGGGAGCAAAAAGAAUCUGAAGGGGAAGUGAACAAUGUAGAGCGUAUCUGUGCUGAAGACGUAAGGAGAGAGUGGAGGUCAGAAGCUGGCAUGGUCCCUGGUGCAUGUAUCAGCCGCUAAAGGAGUGGAGAGUAUGAACAUAAGCAAGAGGAAGUGAUGAGUAUCCCUUCCAGGAGAACUCUAAGAGGCAGUGAGUGAUUUGCUGGGCUCCCAAGCCCUCUGCUCUGAUGACAGCAAAGCCCCAAAUCAUGGUGCCUCCAUCAGUCGGGACCCCUCAGCAGAGCCAGCUUCACAGGUGGAGUGGAUGAAUCAGAACUUUCCCCAUGGGAGCAUUUAUAAAAAGGGGACACCCAGCGCAGAAGAUGUUUUCCAGGGAGAUCUCGGGGAGCCCAACAAGCCAAGAAGAGCAGAGCAAAGCAUUCCAAGGAAGGACUCUAAGUCUGCAACCGAGCACACACGAGGGUAGCCUACGCAUGUACGUCUUGCAGUACAAGGAAAGACCAUGUGAAUACACAGCAAGAACGUGGUGCUCUGCAAGUCAGAAACAGACCCGUCAUCAGACACCAAUGGGAAUAGGGACAUCUGCUGCAUUUGGCUGUUGGAGAAACACAAGGAAAUCAUGGACAAGUGCCAGGUGUGGUGACAC